UGCAGUGCAGUCAAAGGGAGGUGUGCUCCAUGUGGCAUCCCAGGGUUCAGUGCAUUCAGGGGCUGCCCUGUGGCUCCAGUGACAUAGCACCUGGCGUCUCCGCCUCCCCUGUCCUGCCUGCCUGAGCCCCACACUCCAGAGCUUCUUCCAGCAAACCCGCAUCCUCCUGACAUCCUCUCCUCUGCUCAUUUUCACUGGCCUGGUUGUUCUGAGAUGCUGUGGCUGCUGUUCCUGACCCUCCCAGGCCUGGGGGGCUCUGUGCCUCUGUUCCCAAACCCAAACUCGAGGAGGGAGCAGGGUGGCAGGUGGGGGUGCACAGUGCCCCUGCUGGACCAUGGCCUUGGCAAUUCAGCCUCCAACAGUUCGAGGAGCUUGAGCUGUGGCCACACACAUGAGGGGACUCCCUCACCCACCAGCAGUGGGUGCUGACCACCGCCCAUUGUGCCCAGUGGUCCCUGAGAAGAGGAUGCGCUGGGUGACCGGCUGGGGUUCCAUCAGCCUCACAGUUUUGGGGAAUCCGCCACCUUUUGGUUGUGGCAAAGUACACAGAACGAAAACUGACCAUGUUAAGCACUGUUAGGCACACAGGUCAGUGAGGUGAGCACACUCCCACUGCUGCGCAGCCAUCACCACUGCCUUCUCCAG